rnacentral:misc_RNA from 1 species
GAUGAAGAACGUAGCGAAAUGCGAUAAGUAAUGUGAAUUGCAGAAUUCAGUGAAUCAUCGAAUCUUUGAACGCACAUUGCGCCCGCCAGUAUUCUGGCGGGCAUGCCUGUUCGAGCGUCAUUACAACCCUCAGGCCCCCGGGCCUGGCGUUGGGGAUCGGCGGAGCCCCCCGUGGGCACACGCCGUCCCCCAAAUGCAGUGGCGGUCCCGCCGCAGCUUCCAUCGCGUAGUAGCUAACACCUCGCGACUGGAGAGCGGCGCGGCCACGCCGUAAAACACCCAACACUUCUGAAGUUGACCUCGAAUCAGGUAGGAAUACCCGCUGAACUUAAGCAUAUCAAUAGCGGAGGA